GAUGAACGCUGGCGGCGUGCCUAAUACAUGCAAGUCGAGCGAAAAGAUAAGGAGCUUGCUCCCUUGACGUUUGCGGUUGACGGGCGAGUAAGACGUGGAUAACCUUCUUAUAUGACUUGUAUAACUCCGGGAAACCGGGGCUAAUGACGGAUAACAUUUACAACUGCAUGGUUCUAAAGUGAUUGAUGGAUUUGCGCUCACUCAUAGAUGGACCCGCGCCGUAUUAGUUAUUUGGUAAGGUAACGGCUUACCAAGGCAACGUUCCGUGGCCGACCUGGGAGGUUGAUCGGCCACACUGGAACUGAGACACGGUCCAGACUCCUACGGGAGGCAGCAGUAGGGAAUCUUCCGCAAUGGGCGAAAGCCUGACGGAGCAACGCCGCGUGGGGGAUGAAGGUCUUCGGAUCGUAAAACUCUGUUAUUGGGGAAGAACAGAUGUGUAAGUAACUGUGCACGUCUUGACGGUACCUAAUCAGAAAGCCACGGCUAACUACGUG
rnacentral:rRNA from 1 species